AACGAACGCUGGCGGCAUGCCUAACACAUGCAAGUCGAACGAGACCUUCGGGUCUAGUGGCGCACGGGUGCGUAACGCGUGGGAACCUGCCCUUAGGUUCGGAAUAACUCCCCGAAAGGGGUGCUAAUACCGGAUAAUGUCUUCGGACCAAAGAUUUAUCGCCUUUGGAUGGGCCCGCGUUGGAUUAGCUAGUUGGUAGGGUAAAAGCCUACCAAGGGGAAGAUCCAUAGGUGGUCCGAGAGGAUGAUCAGCCAAACUGGGACUGAGACACGGCCCAGACUCCUACGGGAGGCAGCAGGGGGGAAUUUUGGACCAUGGGCGAAAGCCUGACGCAGCAAUGCCGCGUGAAGGAUGAAGGCCUUUGGGUUGGAAAGCUCUUUUACCCAGGAAGAUUAUGACCGUACCCGGGGAAUAAGCUUCGGCUAACUCCGUG
rnacentral:rRNA from 1 species